UUAUAAUUUUCUAGUAUUCCUACUAAGUCAAGGGUGCUCUACAACAUGGUGUAGUUGUUUUGGAAGUUUGGAGACUUGUUUCAUUGAUUUGGAAGUGAAGAAGCUAGAAGAAAAAGGUAUCGAAGUUUGACUUGCUGAUCCGCCGGUUUAGGACAUCUGCUGUGUUAUUGACAGUGCUCCUUUGUUCGGAGCUUGUAUUUUGGUACUGACUCUAUCUCUGUAUAUUUGGAUAUGUUGGUCAGGGGUACGACGGGGCCCUAUCCCGUCUUAUGACUAUGCUAUCAUCUGUAGAGGUCUGUAGACAGAGUUAUGUUGUGGGUUUUGUAUAUAUGGUUUGGAUUUUUGUGUGUUUUGUGACAACCUUUCAACUCUCGUGCGUAUAUCUACUUUUAUGAUAUAUUUAGCAAUUUCUACUAA